rnacentral:rRNA from 1 species
GAUCAUGGCUCAGAACGAACGCUGGUAGCGUGGAUUAGGCAUGCAAGUCGAACGGGAUCGCCGGGUUAGCAAUAAUCCGGCGUGAGAGUGGCGGAUUGGGGAGGAACACGUGAGCAACCUGCCUUUGAGUCGGGGAAAACCGUUGGAAACGACGGCUAAUACCGGAUGUGGCGCCCCGUGACAUCACGGGAACGCUAAAGGGGGCCGCAAGGCUCCCGCUCGUAGAGGGGCUCGCGCGCCAUCAGCUUGUUGGCGGGGUAACGGCCCACCAAGGCCUACGGUUAGCUGGUCUGAGAGGAUGACCAGCCCCACUGGGACUGAGAUACUGCCCAGACUCCUACGGGAGGCUGCAGUCGAGGAUCAUUUGCAAUGGGCGAAAGCCUGACAAUGCGACGCUGCGUGGAGGAUGAAGGCCUUCGGGUUGUAAACUCCUGUCAUGGGGGAACAGGCGAGGGGAGUUAAUACCUCCCUUAGUUGAGUGUACCCCAAGAGGAAUUGGCGGCUAACUCUGUGCCAGCCGCGGC